GACGAACGCUGGCGGCGUGCUUAACACAUGCAAGUCGAACGGAAAGGCCCUGCGUGUGUGGGGUUCUCGAGUGGCGAACGGGUGAGUAAGACGUGAGUAACCUGCCCUUGACUUUGGGAUAACUUCAGGAAACUGGGGCUAAUACCGUAUAGGAGCUCCUGCUGCAUGGAGGGGGUUGGAAAGUCUCGGCUGUUGGGGAUGGAUUAGCGGCUGAUCAGCUUGUUGGUGGGGUAGUGGCUGACCAAGGCAGUGACGGGUAGCCGGCACGAGAGCGUGACCGGUCACAAUGGGCCUGAGAGACGGCCCAGUCUGCUACGGGAGGCAGUGGUGGCGAGCAUUGCACAAUCGGAGCGAGCCUGAUGCAGCAACGCCGCGUGCGGAAUGCCGGCUUUCGGGUUGUAAACAGCUUCCGCCUGUGACGCAGCGUUAGUGACGGUACUCGAUAAAGAAGCACCGGCUAACUACGUG
rnacentral:rRNA from 1 species